UAAUUCAAAAUAUCAAUCUCUCCGUUCUCAUCCCUGCGUCUCUCUUUUCUCUCUCAGUUUCUCUCUCUCUUCUCACACAAUCUCUCUCUCAGCCUCACUCGCCUCUCCCUUCCCUCUCCUGCCCUCCUCCCUUGUAAGCGCCGCGCCGCUCCUCUCUCCGCACCGCCACCGUCCGGCGCCUCCCUUCACCAUGUUCAGCCACCACCAGACUCGGCAUCUCUUUUCCUCUGGAUCGAGCAUUGAGGGCGUGAUACCAAGCAAAGGCAAGAAAAUGGGAGAGUUGUAUAGCGGUUCAGUAGUUACGGAUUGUUCGAGACGAAUCGAACCAGACGUUGGGGAUCAAGACUGAAGUUAGAUAAGAUUCCGUAUCAGGCUGCAGCAAUCGCAUGAGCACCAUAGCAGAGAAUCAGGAAUAGUUGAGGGUGAUGUCUUGAGAAAGCAGAAUAAGAUAAGGAUGUUAGCUAAGAGUGUAUAAGCUAAGGACCAAAGAUAGGGUUAAAGAUGAUUCAUCUGUCUAGGCUGCGUGUAAAAGUAAUGCUAGGCAAGGAUUGCAAGUGACUAAGUUUCAACCUGAUGGUCAGGAAGAGUAUCCAAGAUCGAGUCUUUGGGACUAGUGGUAAUUAGAGUUGUCUAAACUUGAUUUAGUUGUAAAAUCAUGUAAUAAGAUUUAUUAGUUUUACUUUUCUGAUUUCAAUACUAUAGCCUGUUUGCGAUCCUGUUUUAAAGGGGGUGAAAUUGAGUUUUAAUUUAAAUCAUUUUUUUUUAUA